AGAUUUGAUUUAAUUUUAUUUCCUUCCUUUUGAAUACACUCCUUAAAACUAUUUUUUAAGGAUCAAAGUGUUUCAAAUCGUUUACUGUGAAGAAAUUAGAGUGUUCAAAGCAGGCGUAACCUAGCCUUUGAAUAUAUUAGCAUGGGAUAAUGAAAUAGGACUUUAGUUCUACUUUCGUUGGUUUCUAGGGCUGAAGUAAUGAUUAAUAGGGAUAGUUGGGGUCACUAGUAUUUAAUUGUCAGAGGUGAAAUUCUAAGAUUUAUUAAAGACUAACUACUGCGAAAGCAUUUGACAAGGAUGUUUUCAUUAAUCAAGAACGAAAGUUGGGGGAUCGAAGAUGAUCAGAUACCGUCGUAGUCUCAACCAUAAACUAUGCCGACCAAGGAUCCGGGGUUGUUAAUAUGGAUGACUCUCCGGGCACUUAUAGAGAAAUCAUAAGUAUUUGGGCUCCGGGGGGAGUAUGGUCGCAAGGCUGAAACUUAAAGGAAUUGACGGAAGGGCACCACAAGGAGUGGAACCUGCGGUUUAAUUUGACUCAACACGGGAAAACUUACCAGGUCCAGACACAGUGAGGAUUGACAGAUUGAGAGUUCUUUCUUGAUUCUGUGAGUGGUGGUGCAUGGCCGUUUCUAGUUGGUGGAGUGAUUUGUCUGGUUAAUUCCGUUAACGAACGAGACCUUAACCUAUUAAAUAGUUAUUUAAACUUGAUUUCUUGUAAAUCAAAUGUUUAACUAACUUCUUAGAGGGACUCUUCAC
rnacentral:rRNA from 1 species